CAACUCAAUAAGAAAAAAAUAUCACAACACACAGCCAAACCAUGAAAUUAUCACAUAUAGCUCUAUUAUCAAUACUCAUGUUCACCCUCGUUGCUAUGCAUAAGUGGAUGAGGAUGGAGGUUAGAGAGAUUGAGGGACCGAACUCCCAAAACGUCAUUGAAGAGUGUUACCCUGGCCCAUGCCAUGCUAUGGUACCUCAUUGUUGGUGCUGCAAACAUUUAGAACAUUGUUGGUCAGGCACAACUGGUCACGACUUUUGCAACAUGCAAUGUAACUUAAGUUUAAACCCUUGAUAAAACAAUGGAAGCAUGAACUAGUUAUAUUUUAUUUACUAUUUUGUUUACAAAAAUAAAUAAAUAUCUCGCAAGGUAUAUAUAGACGAUACUGUUAUGUUUG